UUAAAAGUUUGGUCCUGACUUUACUGUCAACUUUAACUAGAUUUACACAUGCAAGUCUCCGCACCCCUGUGAAAUAAGCCCUAUCUCACCCCUAACCCGGGAACAAGGAGCGGGCAUCAGGCACAACCACCCCCGUUUAGCCCAAGACGCCUUGCUUAGCCACACCCCCAAGGGAAUUCAGCAGUGAUAAACAUUAAGCCAUGAGCGAAAGCUUGACUUAGUUAAAGUUAAGAGGGUCGGUAAAACUCGUGCCAGCCACCGCGGUUAUACGAGAGACCCAAGUUGACAGUGCCCGGCGUAAAGAGUGGUUAGGAAAUUCUUCAAAACUAAAGCCGAAUGGCCUCAAGGCUGUUAUACGCACCCGAGGCUUGGAAGUCCAAACACGAAAGUAGCUUUAUAAACCUGAAUCCACGAAAGUUAAGACACAAACUGGGAUUAGAGACCCCACUAUGCUUAACAGUAAACAUUGACAACACACAACCCCGUUGUCCGCCUGGGUACUACGAACACUAGUUUAAAACCCAAAGGACUUGGCGGUGCUUUAGACCCCCCUAGAGGAGCCUGUUCUGUAACCGAUACCCCCCGUUAAACCUCACCCCUUCUUGUCAUUCCCGCCUAUAUACCGCCGUCGUCAGCUUACCCUGUGAAGGACAAAUAGUAAGCACAGUUGCCACAGCCCAAAACGUCAGGUCGAGGUGUAGCCUAUGAAGAGGAAAGAAAUGGGCUACAUUCUCUAUCUAAGAGAAUACGAAUAAUAUGCUGAAAUACAUAUUUGAAGGAGGAUUUAGCAGUAAGCAAAAAAUAGAGAGUUUUGCUGAAACCGGCUCUGAAGCGCGCACACACCGCCCGUCACUCUCCCCAAGCUAAACAACUAAACCUAACUAAGCCAAGAUAACUGCAAAGGGGAGGCAAGUCGUAACAUGGUAAGCGUACCGGAAGGUGCUCUUGGAUAAAU
rnacentral:ncRNA from 1 species